GCUUGUCUCAAAGAUUAAGCCAUGCAUGUCUAAGUAUAAAUAAAUCAUACUGUGAAACUGCGAAUGGCUCAUUAUAUCAGUUAUAGUUUAUUUGAUAGUCCCUUACUACUUGGAUAACCGUAGUAACUCUAGAGCUAAUACAUGCGCAAAUUCCCGACUGCCGCAAGGCGGAAAGGAUGUAUUUAUUAGAUCCAACCAGCCCGGUUCGCCGGAGUCCCUGGUGAGUCAUAAUAACUGAGCGAAUCGCAUGGCCUUGCGCCGGCGAUGGUUCAUUCAAGUUUCUGCCCUAUCAACUUUCGAUGGUAAGGUAUUGGCCUACCAUGGUUACCACGGGUAACGGGGAAUUAGGGUUCGGUUCCGGAGAGGGCGCCUGAGAAAUGGCGACCACAUCCAAGGAAGGCAGCAGG
rnacentral:rRNA from 1 species